GGUCAUAGCUCAGUGGUAGAGCCUCUGAUUGACAUGCAGAAAAUCCCAGGUUCAGUUCCUGGCAUCUCCA
rnacentral:tRNA from 1 species